AGACUAGCUCCUUCGUACUAGAUGCUUUGGUGCCUUCGGGAACCGUGAGACAGGUGCUGCAUGGCUGUCGUCAGCUCGUGUUGUGAAAUGUUGGGUUAAGUCCCGCAACGAGCGCAACCCUUAUCCUUUGUUGCCAGCGGUUCGGCCGGGAACUCAAAGGAGACUGCCAGUGAUAAACUGGAGGAAGGUGGGGAUGACGUCAAGUCAUCAUGGCCCUUACGAGUAGGGCUACACACGUGCUACAAUGGCGCAUACAAAGAGAAGCGACCUCGCGAGAGCAAGCGGACCUCAUAAAGUGCGUCGUAGUCCGGAUUGGAGUCUGCAACUCGACUCCAUGAAGUCGGAAUCGCUAGUAAUCGUAGAUCAGAAUGCUACGGUGAAUACGUUCCCGGGUCUG
rnacentral:rRNA from 1 species